rnacentral:rRNA from 1 species
UACGAAGGGGGCUAGCGUUGCUCGGAAUCACUGGGCGUAAAGGGCUCGUAGGCGGUCUGUCACGUCGGGAGUGAAAACACGGGGCUUAACCCCGUGCCUGCUUCCGAUACGGGCAGACUAGAGGUAUGCAGGGGAGAACGGAAUUCCUGGUGUAGCGGUGAAAUGCGCAGAUAUCAGGAGGAACACCGGUGGCGAAGGCGGUUCUCUGGGCAUUACCUGACGCUGAGGAGCGAAAGCGUGGGGAGCGAACAGG